rnacentral:rRNA from 1 species
AGCGAACGCUGGCGGCAGGCCUAACACAUGCAAGUCGAACGAACUCUUCGGAGUUAGUGGCGGACGGGUGAGUAACACGUGGGAACGUGCCUUUUGGUUCGGAAUAACUCAGGGAAACUUGUGCUAAUACCGAAUGUGCCCUUCGGGGGUAAGAUUUAUCGCCGUUAGAGCGGCCCGCGUCUGGUUAGCUUGUUGGGGAGGUAACGGCUCACCAAGGCGACGAUCAGUAGCUGGUCUGAGAGGAUGACCAGCCACACUGGGACUGAGACACGGCCCAGACUCCUACGGGAGGCAGCAGUGGGGAAUCUUGCGAAAUGGGCGAAAGCCUGACGCAGCCAUGCCGCGUGAAUGAUGAAGGUCUUAGGAUUGUAAAAUUCUUUCACCGGGGACGAUAAUGACGGUACCCGGAGAAGAAGCCCCGGCUAACUUCGUG